GGGUUGUGAGGUUAAGCGACUAAGCGUACACGGUGGAUGCCCUGGCAGUCAGAGGCGAUGAAGGGCGUGCUAAUCUGCGAUAAGCGCCGGUAAGGUGAUAUGAACCGUUAUAACCGGCGAUACCCGAAUGGGGAAACCCAGUGUGACUCGUCACACUAUCAUUAACUGAAUCCAUAGGUUAAUGAGGCGAACCGGGGGAACUGAAACAUCUAAGUACCCCGAGGAAAAGAAAUCAACCGAGAUUCCCCCAGUAGCGGCGAGCGAACGGGGAGGAGCCCAGAGCCUGAAUCAGCAUAUGUGUUAGUGGAAGCGUCUGGAAAGGCGCGCGAUACAGGGUGACAGCCCCGUACACAAAAGCGCAUGUGCUGUGAGCUCGAUGAGUAGGGCGGGACACGUGGUAUCCUGUCUGAAUAUGGGGGGACCAUCCUCCAAGGCUAAAUACUCCUGACUGACCGAUAGUGAACCAGUACCGUGAGGGAAAGGCGAAAAGAACCCCGGCGAGGGGAGUGAAAAAGAACCUGAAACCGUGUACGUACAAGCAGUGGGAGCCCCACCACUAAGCCAGUGGUGAACUCCACAUACGCAUCCUUUGCUGAGGAUACGGUUAACGGAGCGAAAGCGACGUUCAACCGCAAAAGAAGCAGAGGGGGCUUAGUGGUGGGGUGACUGCGUACCUUUUGUAUAAUGGGUCAGCGACUUAUAUUCUGUAGCAAGGUUAACCGUAUAGGGGAGCCGGAGGGAAACCGAGUCUUAACCGGGCGUUAAGUUGCAGGGUAUAGACCCGAAACCCGGUGAUCUAGCCAUGGGCAGGUUGAAGGUUGGGUAACACUAACUGGAGGACCGAACCGACUAAUGUUGAAAAAUUAGCGGAUGACCUGUGGCUGGGGGUGAAAGGCCAAUCAAACCGGGAGAUAGCUGGUUCUCCCCGAAAGCUAUUUAGGUAGCGCCUCGUGAA
rnacentral:rRNA from 1 species